rnacentral:rRNA from 1 species
UGGGGAAUAUUGCACAAUGGGCGCAAGCCUGAUCCAGCCAUGCCGCGUGUGUGAAGAAGGUCUUCGGAUUGUAAAGCACUUUAAGUUGGGAGGAAGGGCAGUUACCUAAUACGUAUCUGUUUUGACGUUACCGACAGAAUAAGCACCGGCUAACUCUGUGCCAGCAGCCGCGGUAAUACAGAGGGUGCAAGCGUUAAUCGGAAUUACUGGGCGUAAAGCGCGCGUAGGUGGUUUGUUAAGUUGGAUGUGAAAUCCCCGGGCUCAACCUGGGAACUGCAUUCAAAACUGACAAGCUAGAGUAUGGUAGAGGGUGGUGGAAUUUCCUGUGUAGCGGUGAAAUGCGUAGAUAUAGGAAGGAGCACCAGUGGCGAAGGCGACCACCUGGACUGAUACUGACACUGAGGUGCGAAAGCGUGGGGAGCAAACAGGAUUAGAUACCCCCGUAGUCCCUGAGCGGGCUGGCAAGGCGCAU